GUCAUCAUGAUCAGAAUUACAAUAAGCCCCAACAUUGGAUGAGCACUGCCUGAGCCUUGGCCCUGAAAUGGCUUUUCAUUGAUGGCAGCUUCCACCAAUCACCUUCACUCUCACUCCUCCAUUCAUCUUCUCCGCAUAGGCUGAGAAGACUGUGACUAAACUCAUAUCCACUGGGAUUAAACCUGCUGACGCUUCCCAAAUGCUGGAACACGCUCGUCAGCACAUGUCGUUGCAUUGUGUCUGCUUCCGUUAGGGGUCACCACAGCGGACCAUCCGUGAUCCUCAUAUUUGACUUGGUACAGGUUUUACAGUGGAUGCCUUACCUGACACAACCCCCCGUGGCUGGGGGACUCACACCUACGGGGCAAUUUAAAGUCUCCAAUUCACUUAUCCUGCAUGUUUUUGGACGUGUGGGGAAAACCAGAACACCCGGAGGAAACCCAUGCGAACACGAGGAGAACAUGCAAACUCCACCCAGUUGAGCCAGGACUCAAACCUGGGACCUUCUUGCUGUGAGGCGACAGUGCUAGCCACUGAGCAUAAUUUGUACUAUUUACAAGUACUUACAUUGAUUUGUUGAACACGUGCUAAAACUGGUACUGUCUUUUUAACAAAACUGCCGUUUCUGUAAAGAGCAUCUGUAUGAGAGCAUGUUAAAAA